rnacentral:rRNA from 1 species
AACUUACUCAUUACUUGUUAUAUAAAGCGUAAAAAAAGUAAUAAAAUAAUUUUUUAAAUGUAAAUAGUACAGCAAUGGAAACAACCAAAAAAUAAAGUAAUUGUAAACAGAUGUACCUUGUGCAUUAUGGAUUUACAAGAAUAUAGUAUACCAUCAGCAUGCCCGAAUCUCUAGCGAGCUGCUAAAAUACUGUUAAGAACCCAAAAAUAAUUAUUUCAAUAUUUUUUUAAGAUAUUCUAGCAGGGGCUACAUACCAGCCGCGCGGGAAAAUUGCUGGUUUUCAGUAAACUUAAUUAACUUAAAUAUGUAAAUAUAAAUUUACAAUAUAAUAUUACCGAGGAUAAGCCCCGUAAUGAAAGCAAAUAUAGUUCUUAAAAAAUUCUACAGGCCUAAAAUCAGCUAUCAAACUACUUUACCGUAACAGAUAUCUGAUCUAUAUAUUAAUCUGCAACGGAAACUGAAAUUUUGAUUAAACAAUAUUAAUUUAUAUAUUUUAUGUAAAUAUUAGUAUUUUAUUUUUAGUAACAUCACAAAAACUAAAAUAAAU